rnacentral:rRNA from 1 species
GGAAUCUUCCGCAAUGGACGAAAGUCUGACGGAGCAACGCCGCGUGAGUGAUGAAGGUUUUCGGAUCGUAAAGCUCUGUUGCCAGGGAAGAACACGAUGGAGAGUCACUGCUCUGUCGUUGACGGUACCUGAGAAGAAAGCCCCGGCUAACUACGUGCCAGCAGCCGCGGUAAUACGUAGGGGGCAAGCGUUGUCCGGAAUUAUUGGGCGUAAAGCGCGCGCAGGCGGUGAUUUAAGUUUGGUGUUUAAUCCCGGGGCUCAACCCCGGGUCGCACUGAAAACUGGGUCACUUGAGUGCGGGAGAGGAAAGUGGAAUUCCACGUGUAGCGGUGAAAUGCGUAGAGAUGUGGAGGAACACCAGUGGCGAAGGCGACUUUCUGGACCGUAACUGACGCUGAGGCGCGAAAGCGUGGGGAGCAAA